rnacentral:lncRNA from 1 species
GCACAGCAAACAGCAGAGCAACAGAAUAGCGCCUGGCCUCCGGUCCGCUCGAUCCGCUGGCCUGCACCACCGCCUGCGCACCUUGGCUCGCCGCCCCACACGCACCACCACCACCAGCGCCUCGCCGCCUUGGUCCGCCGCCCACACCGUGCCCGCGCCUCUAGCCCGAGCCGCCUUGCUCACUGCGCCUGUGCGCCCGUCGCCACCGCACCCCUCUCCUCCUUGCUCUGUUCUUCUCCCCCAUCGAGCAAAC